GACGAACGCUGGCGGCGUGCUUAACACAUGCAAGUCGAGCGGUAAGGCCCUUUCGGGGGUACGACGAGCGGCGAACGGGUGAGUAACACGUGGGUGACCUGCCCUCAGCUCUGGGAUAAGCCUGGGAAACCGGGUCUAAUACCGGAUAUGACUCCAUGACGCAUGUUGUGGGGUGGAAAGCCUUGUGCGGCUGAGGAUGGGCCCGCGGCCUAUCAGCUUGUUGGUGGGGUGAUGGCCUACCAAGGCGACGACGGGUAGCCGGCCUGAGAGGGCGACCGGCCACACUGGGACUGAGACACGGCCCAGGCUCCUACGGGAGGCAGCAGUGGGGAAUCUUGCGCAAUGGGCGAAAAGCCUGACGCAGCGACGCCGCGUGAGGGAUGACGGCCU
rnacentral:rRNA from 1 species